UGAAAGAGAGGAAGUGUUCCGGAAUCUAUGCCUGGCAGCUCAAAAUGGCGUAUCCUUUCCAAACACAACAACGGACAGACUGGUUGUUUAUAAGGAUCCAACAAGUGGACUCUUGAUGUGUGGUGGUAGGAUCCAGACUUUCAAAGAAGACCAGAGAGCAGUUCCCCUGCUACCUUUCCAGACCUGGAUCUCCACCCUCCUAGCACGAGAAGCACACGGGGAGGGACAUGAUGGAGUGGCAGGGACGUUACUGCGGAUGCGAAAGAAAGCAUGGGUCAUUAGGGGAAGAAUUAUUGCCCAAAAAGUUGUGGGUAAGUGUGUCAUUUGCAAAAAGGCAAAAGCAAAAACCUGUCAGCAAAUCAUGGGAAACUUACCUGAAGAGAGGUCGAGCCCGGCUGCACCGUUUCAAUUCACGUCUGUAGACCUGUUCGGACCGUACGAAGUGAAGGAUGAUGUCAAGAGAAGAGUGAGCAUGAAGGUAUGGGGUGUGCUCUUCUGCUGCAUGUCAAGCCGAGCCAUCCAUGUUGAACUGGCAAGCACGCUAACAACCGAGAGCUUUCUACUUGCUUACCAGAGGUUCACUUCUGUCCGAGGCCAUCCUCAGAAGAUCUGGUCCGAUCCAGGUACAAAUUUUAUUGGAGCAAAACUUGUUCUGGAGGAGAUGUACACUUACCUGAGACAGCAAAGCAAAGAAUCGCUUGAAGAAUAUGCUGCCAAGAAUGCGACUGAUUGGACAUGGAAAAUACUUCCAGCCAAUUCACCUCACCGAAAUGGCGCUGCCGAAGCUGCUGUCAAGAUCACCAAAAGAGCUCUCCAAAGUCUUGGUGGAGGAGGCCUUACUUUCAGCGAAUUCUUGACUGUGCUCAAGCUAGCUGCCAACCUUGCCAACGAAAGGCCUAUCGACGCCAGAAUCCAGAGCCGUGAAGACCGCAUCCAAUGCAUCACUCCGAACACCCUGUUGCUUGGUCGAGCUACACAGAGUGGAGAUUUCAAAGCAUUCGAUUACACCACUUACCCCUUCAAAAGGCUGCAAGAGAUACAAGCUCAAGUUAACUACUUUUGGAAGUCCUGGAGCCAGCUUGCAGGUCCAAACCUAUUCAUCCGCAGCAAGUGGCAUACUGCCGAAAGAAACGUUGCCAAGGGAGAUAUAGUUUGGCUCUGUGACCAAAAUGCACUAAGA
rnacentral:lncRNA from 1 species